GACGAACGCUGGCGGCGUGCCUAAUACAUGCAAGUAGAACGCUGAAGGAGGAGCUUGCUUCUCUGGAUGAGUUGCGAACGGGUGAGUAACGCGUAGGUAACCUGCCUGGUAGCGGGGGAUAACUAUUGGAAACGAUAGCUAAUACCGCAUAAGAGUAGAUGUUGCAUGACAUUUGCUUAAAAGGUGCAAUUGCAUCACUACCAGAUGGACCUGCGUUGUAUUAGCUAGUUGGUGAGGUAACGGCUCACCAAGGCGACGAUACAUAGCCGACCUGAGAGGGUGAUCGGCCACACUGGGACUGAGACACGGCCCAGACUCCUACGGGAGGCAGCAGUAGGGAAUCUUCGGCAAUGGGGGCAACCCUGACCGAGCAACGCCGCGUGAGUGAAGAAGGUUUUCGGAUCGUAAAGCUCUGUUGUAAGAGAAGAACGAGUGUGAGAGUGGAAAGUUCACA
rnacentral:rRNA from 1 species